ACUUGAAUAGCUUAUAUUUAGGGCAUAACACUGAAGAUGUUAGUGAGAUACUUGUAUCUUUAAGUA
rnacentral:tRNA from 1 species